rnacentral:tRNA from 1 species
GAGGGUAUAGCUCAAGCGGUAGAGCACAUGCUUAGCAUGCACAGGGUCCUGGGUUCAAUCCCCAGUACCUCCU